GCCUAACACAUGCAAGUCGAGCGUGAUUUAUGAGGACGAAACUUCGGUCUAGGAAUCAUAAUGAAAGCGGCGGACGGGUGAGUAACGCGUGAACAAUCUGCCCUGUACAAAGGAAUAGCCUCGGGAAACCGGGAUUAAAACCAUAUGACACUUUAGUACCGCAUGGUAUAGAAGUCAAAUUGAUUUAGAGGUAUGGGAUGAGUUCGCGUCUGAUUAGCUAGUUGGUGAGGUAAUGGCUCACCAAGGCGACGAUCAGUAGCCGGCCUGAGAGGGUGAACGGCCACACUGGAACUGAGACACGGUCCAGACUCCUACGGGAGGCAGCAGUGGGGAAUAUUGCACAAUGGAGGAAACUCUGAUGCAGCGACGCCGCGUGAGUGAAGAAGGUCUCCGGAUCGUAAAACUCUGUCCUUGGUGAAGAAAAAGACGGUAGCCAAGGAGGAAGCCCCGGCUAACUACGUACCAGCCGCCGCCGUAAAAC
rnacentral:rRNA from 1 species